UACCCCUCAGCCCUUCACCAGCUCCAGAUCUGCCUGCCUACAGGACAUCACCACUUGUAUAUACUUUAGGAACCUCAAACUCACCUGUUUCAUGAUAUUCACAGCCCUUCUGCACUGGCACAAGAAUGGAUCCAGGAGCUAUCUAGGAGCAGAUUGCUGACCAGAUUCUGUCUCAUUCUCUCAAAAGUCCUCCUUCUUUUCUUUCCCAUUUUUCUUUUUCCCCCUUCUCUUUCUCUUCUGUCCUCAAGGUAGAUUUCCCAGAACUAAAGCACCGUGUACAGAAGGAAAAAAGCAAAGAACAGAAGUGCAGAGUUCCAGGCUAAUUUACAGCUGUGCCCACUGAGAAACUUGGAACUUGCUCUUCUCAGCUCUCUACACCUCACAGGCCCUCCCUUUCCCCUUCAGACAUGCACCUCUGGACCAGAAUAGGAGAUGAGGUCUCCUAGUGAGGGUAGUGGAGCUACCUUCCAUAGAAGAGGAGGAUGUGAGUUAUGAAACAUAUCUGAGCUGUAUCCCAGAGAGUAGUAUGCCUCUGUGUGUGUGUAAGCCUGAGACUGCUAUCCUUAGAAAGGCCUGCUUGCAAGGUUGGCCUUUGGCUGGCACUUGGGAACUUGACUGGUAAACAGUUCCCUACACUGAUAUUACACUUUCCCUAAAUGGUAAGGAUGGCUCACUGUGCCUGAAAUGCUUUUUACAAACAACGUGGUUGAUACUGAAUAUCUUCUGACAGUCUGGAAUCUUGACAUGUGCUCGGUAGGCGGUGCUUAUGUGACCAGCCCCCAGUAACAACACAGGCUUCUCAAAUGAGCUUCCCUGGUAGACAUGUGUGUGUUAUUACAGUUUGAUGCUGGGACGGAAUUAAGUGCAUUCUGUAUGACUCCAGAGGGGAAGGACUCUAGGAAGCUUGUGCUUGGUCUCCUCAGGAUUUUGCCUCCUGUGCCUUUUCCCUAUGCUGAUUUUACUUUCUAUCCUUUCACUGUAAUAAAUCAUAGCCAUGAGUAUGAUUAUAUGCUGAGUCCUGGAGUCCUCCUAGCAAAUCAUUGAACCUGAGGAUGGCUUUGAGGAACCCCCAACGCAAUGAUCCCACCCAGGAUACCACAUUACACUGAGUUGUCCUAUCUCUUUAGUCUCCUCUGGUCUUGCAGUUUCUCAGAAUUUUCUUGGUUUUGAUGACAUUGACAGUUUUCAGUUUAGGAAAGAUUUGGACAGCAGAAACAGAGUGAGGAAUCCUCAGAAGAGAUGGUAGGGCAGCCUUAGGAAUAGAUGUGAUCACCCAGAGAGCAUCUGAAGAAAGAGAAGAAGGCGGAUUCUUAACCACUGCGCUACCAGAGAAGUCCUCACAAUUGGUGAAUUUUUGUGUAGCCAUUUUAAUAUUGAAGAUGGAAGAAAAAAAGCAACAUUUUUGGCAUAUUAUGCUUUAUUAUUUCAAGAAAGGUAAAAACGCAACUGAAACGCAAAAAAAAGAUUUGUACAGUAUAUGGAGAAGGUGUUGUGACUGAUCGAACAUGUCAAAAGUGGUUUGCGAAGUUUCUUGCUGGAGAUUUCUCGCUGGACGAUGCGCCACGGUCGGGUAGACCAGUUGAAGUUGAUAGCUCUCAAAUCGAGACAUUAAUUGAGAACAAUUUAUGUUAUACCACUCGGGAGAUAGCUGACAUACUCAGAAUAUGCAAAUCAAGUGUUGAAAAUCAUUUGCACCAGCUUGGUUAUGUGAAUCGCUUUGAUGUUUGGGUUCCAUUCAAGUUAAGCGAAAAAAACCUUCUUGUCUGUAUUUCUGCAUGCGAUUCUCUACUUAAAUGUAAUGAAAAAUUUCCAUUUUUAAAACAAAUUGUGACGAGCUAUGAAAAGUGGAUACUGUACAACAAUGUGGAAUGGAAGAGAUCGUGGGGCAAGUGCAAUGAACCACCACCAACCACGCCAAAGGCCGGUCUUCAUCCAAAGAAGGAGAUGUUGUGUAUAUGAUGGGAUUGGAAGGGAGUCCUCUAUUAUGAGCUCCUUCUGGAAAACAAAACGAUUAAUUCCAACAAGUUCUGCUCCCAAUUAGACCAACUGAAAGCAGCACUCGACUAAAAGCAUCCAGAAUUAGUUAACAGAAAACACAUAAUCUUCCAUCAGGAUAAUGCAAGACCGCAUGUUUCUUUGAUGACCAGGCAAAAACCGUUACAGCUUAGCUGGGAAAUUCUGCUUCAUCCACCGUAUUCACCAGACAUUGCACCUUCGGAUUUCCAUUUAUUUAGGUCUUUACAAAAUUCUAUUAAUGGAAAAAAUUUCAAUUCUGUAGAAGACUGUAAAAGGCACCUGGAACAGUUCUUUGCUCAGAAAGAUAAAAAGUUUUGGGAAGAUGGAAUUAUGAAGUUGCCUGAAAAAUGGCAGAAGGUAGUGGAACAAAAGGGUGAAUACAUUGUUCAAUAAAGUUCUUGGUGAAAAUGAAAAAUGUGUCUUUUAUUUUUACUUAAAAACCGAAGGCACUUUUUGGCCAACCCAAUAUAUUUCAGUAUUAUUUUAAUGGCUAUCUAGAUUACUAUAAAGUCCACCCCUGUAGUAUAUUUUUACAAAUUUAAUUUAAAUCUUUAGAUUUUUUGAGGAAUUAAUGAGUCAAAGGGGAAAGCAUUUUAAUACUCUUGAUAUGUGUUUUCAAACUGUCCUCCAGAAAAAUGAUACACUCUCUCCAGCACUGUGGUAGUACCAUUGCCAUUUUUUCCCUCCUUGCCAAUUUAAAAAGAAAAAAUGAGACCACAUUUAGUUUUUACAUGUAUUCUAACGAUUUUCUGGGGAACCUCACCAGCUUUCAAUAAAUACAGUUCAAUGGAUUGCACUAAAUCCGGAUUUCUUUGAUUGUUCCAUUGUGGCUUAUACAAGGGUAUGCUCUCCUGUUGCAUUUCACACAGAGGGUGAAACUCUGAGACUACAUCUUCCUCAUUGUCUUAGUCCUUAGAAAUGGAUUCUGAGACAGAGAUUUCUGUGCAGGAGAUUUAUGGGGGAGUGCUCUUGGCAUCAAUACCUAGUGGAGUUAGGGAAAGCACAACCGGGUAGAGGGAGAAAUUGAACUGCGAUGCAUUUGCAACAGAGACCUCAGCUGAUCCCACAGAUAGCCCUGGAGGUCAGAUGGCCCCUCAGAGCUGUCCCAAAUAGAGGCAGGGGACUGGGCCUUUGACCCCAGCAUCAAGCAAUCAUUGGAUGCAGGCUGCCCUUGGGGAGGAAGUGUAACUUUAGGUGGAGCACCUUCCUUCGGUCAAGGGCAAUUCCUAGAAAGGGAUAUGGCUGUGAGUUUUCAACAGCCAGCACUCCUGUGGCUGGUGGUGAAUGAGGUCCUGAAGAGGGUGUCUGGGUGGCACGUCACAGAAUCCACUACAGCCCACGCUUGCACCUCUCAGAUCCACUUGCUUCAUAUGGUAAGUAACUCUGCAUCUGGGAACAGCAUCUCCAGGAUCCUGGUUGGCUCUUUUCCUGGAGAAACUUACAAGAGGAAGGUUAGUAGGAUGAAAGACAGCCCUUGCAGCUGAAGCUGAUCUUGAGGCUACAACUGAUACUCAUCAUGACUCCUCCUCUACCACUCAUUCUUAUCUUU